rnacentral:rRNA from 1 species
GACGAACGCUGGCGGCGUGCUUAACACAUGCAAGUCGAACGGAAAGGCCCUGCUUUUGUGGGGUGCUCGAGUGGCGAACGGGUGAGUAACACGUGAGUAACCUGCCCUUGACUUUGGGAUAACUUCAGGAAACUGGGGCUAAUACCGGAUAGGAGCUCCUGCUGCAUGGUGGGGGUUGGAAAGUUUCGGCGGUUGGGGAUGGACUCGCGGCUUAUCAGCUUGUUGGUGGGGUAGUGGCUUACCAAGGCUUUGACGGGUAGCCGGCCUGAGAGGGUGACCGGCCACAUUGGGACUGAGAUACGGCCGAGACUCCUACGGGAGGCAGCAGUGGGGAAUAUUGCACAAUGGGCGGAAGCCUGAUGCAGCAACGCCGCGUGCGGGAUGACGGCCUUCGGGUUGUAACCCGCUUUCGCCUGUGACGAAGCGUGAGUGACGGUAAUGGGUAAAGAAGCACCGGCUAACUACGUG